rnacentral:rRNA from 1 species
AGAGUUUGAUUCUGGCUCAGAACGAACGCUGGCAGCGUGGAUUAGGCAUGCAAGUCGAACGAGAGCAUUAGUGUAGCAAUACAAUGAUGCAAGAGUGGCGAAAGGGCGAGGAACACGUGGGCAAUCUGCCUCUUAGUAAGGGAUAACCCGCCGAAAGGCGAGCUAAUACCGGAUGUGAUGGUCUGCCGCAUGGUGGAUUGAUCAAAGAUGGGGAACCGCAAGGUCCUGUCGCUAGGAGAGGAGCCCGCGUCCUAUCAGCUUGUUGGUGAGGUAACGGCUCACCAAGGCUUACGGGUAGCUGGUCUGAGAGGAUGGUCAGCCGCACUGGGACUGAGACACUGCCCAGACUCCUACGGGAGGCUGCAGUCGAGGAUCAUUCGCAAUGGGCGCAAGCCUGACGAUGCGACGCUGCGUGGAGGAUGAAGGCCUUCGGGUCGUAAACUCCUGUCAUUCGGGAACAAUAAAACGGCCGGUAAUACCGGCUGGAAUUGAUAGUACCGGAAGAGGAAGCCACGGCUAACUCUGUGCCAGCAGCCGCGGUAAUACAGAGGUGGCAAGCGUUGUUCGGAUUUACUGGGCGUAAAGGGUGCGUAGGUGGUAUGGUGUGUCGGGCGUGAAAGCCAUCGCUCAACGAUGGAAUGCCGUCCGAAACUACCAAACUAGAGUGCAGGAGAGGAGAGCGGAAUACUUGGUGUAGCGGUGGAAUGCGUUGAGAUCAAGUAGAACACCGGUGGCGUAGGCGGCUCUCUGGAAUGUUACUGACACUGAGGCACGAAAGUUGGGGGAGCAAACAGGAUUAGAUACCCUGGUAGUCCCAACCCUAAACGGUGCACACUUGGUGUAGGAGGAAUUGACCCCUUCUGUGCCGGAGCUAACGCGUUAAGUGUGCCGCCUGGGGAGUACGGUCGCAAGAUUAAAACUCAUAAAUUGACGGGGGCCCGCACAAGCGGAGGAGCAUGUGGCUUAAUUCAUGCAACGCGAAGAACCUUACCAGGGCUUGACAUGUAGCUGGACGUCCCAUGAAAGUGGGAUUCCUUCGAGGCUGCUACACAGGUGCUGCAUGGCUGUCGUCAGUUCGUGCCGUGAGGUGUUGGGUUAAGUCCCGCAACGAACGCAACCCCUGUAUUUAGUUGCCACCGGCGCAAGCCGAGCACUCUAAAUAGACUGCCCGUGAUAAGCGGGAGGAAGGUGGGGAUGACGUCAAGUCAGUAUGGCCUUUAUGCCCUGGGCUGCACACGUGCUACAAUGGUCGGUACAGAGGGAAGCUAGACCGCGAGGUGGAGCAAAUCCCAAAAAACCGGCCCCAGUUCAGAUUGAAGGCUGCAACUCGCCUUCAUGAAGUUGGAUUCGCUAGUAAUGGCACAUCAGCUACGGUGCCGUGAAUACGUUCCCGGGCCUUGUACACACCGCCCGUCACAUCAUGAAAGCCGUCUGCACCCGACGUCGUUGAUUCAACCUGCAAAGGAGAUAGACGCCUAAGGUGUGGGUGGUGAUUGGGAUGAAGUCGUAACAAGGUA